rnacentral:rRNA from 1 species
UACAAGUACCCGUGAGGGAAAGUUGCAAAGCACUUUGAAGAGAGAGUUAAAGAGGACGUGAAACCGGUUGGAUGGAAACGGAUAGAGCCGGCGAAGUCGCUCGUAUUCAGCCAAAGGCUCGGGGCUGUUCCGCAGCUGGGUUGCUAAUAACGCUCGGCGGUGGUACGUGCUCUGGGUUGAGGUGCAUUUGCGGGUGUUUGCGCUGAGACUUGCGAGGUGGCUGCUGGACCCGUGCCUAGAGGCUUCCCUAUGGGUUGUACCUGGUCGCGGUAACAGUUGUUCGCCUUGCUCGUACACGCGUCUGGCCUACGGACCUGGGUCGCGCUGCUGUCGGUGCACGGUGGUAUCGCAUGCGAUGCCUAGUGUGCUGGCCGUGGUUUGGCUCGGUGUUCACUGACGUGCUCUCGGUGUAGAAGCUGGUUAUCUCUCCGACCCGUCUUGAAACACGGACCAAGGAGUUUAGCGUAUACGCGAGUCAUUGGGUGACAAAACCCAUAGGCGUAAUGAAAGUAAAGGCUCGGUCGCCGGGCUGACAUGCGAGUGCUCCGGCUUCGGCUAGGCACGCAGCAUGGUCCCGUUGUAGUGGCUUGCCACGCAGCGGAGACAGAGCGUAUGCGCUGAGACCCGAAAGAUGGUGAACUAUUCCUGAGCAGGACGAAGCCAGAGGAAACUCUGGUGGAAGUCCGAAGCGAUUCUGACGUGCAAAUCGAUCGUCUGACUUGGGUAUAGGGGCGAAAGACUAAUCGAACCAUCUAGUAGCUGG